CAGCCGCCGCGGUAAUACGUAGGGUGCAAGCGUUAAUCGGAAUUACUGGGCGUAAAGCGUGCGCAGGCGGUUAUAUAAGUCAGAUGUGAAAUCCCCGGGCUCAACCUGGGAACUGCAUUUGAGACUGUAUGGCUAGAGUGUGUCAGAGGGGGGUAGAAUUCCACGUGUAGCAGUGAAAUGCGUAGAUAUGUGGAGGAAUACCGAUGGCGAAGGCAGCCCCCUGGGAUAACACUGACGCUCAUGCACGAAAGCGUGGGGAGCAAACAGGAUUAGAGACCCGCGUAGUCCCUGUCUCUUAUAA
rnacentral:rRNA from 1 species